rnacentral:rRNA from 1 species
AAACUUACCAGGUCAAGACAUGGGCGUGAUUGACAGGCUAAUGACUUUUCUCGAUUCCAUGGAUGGUGGUGCAUGGUCGCACUUAGUUGGUGCAGUGAUUUGUCAGGUUUAUUCCGGUAACGAACGAGACCUCGGCCUUGUAAAUAGCUAUGCUGCUUACAGGGACAUUGGCGGCUACGCCAAGGAAGCUCGAGGCAAUUGCAGAUCUGGAAUGCCCUUAGAUGUCCUGGGUCGCACGCGUGCUACAAUGACGCCACGAACGAGCUUGCGUGAUGAAAGUUACGCAUAAUCAGCAGUCGGCGUCUUAAGGGAUAGUCUCUUGUAACUGUGGGACUCCAACUAGGAAUGUCUCGUAAGCACAAGUCAACAUCUUGUGUUGAUUACGUCCCUGCUCUUUGUACACACCGCCCGUCGCUCCUACCGAUCGAGUGUUUAGGUGAAUUUGAUGGACGUAAGGAAGUCAAAUAAACCUGAGCACUAGAGAAGAGAAGUCGAUAUUC